UUCGAUUUUUGUUUGUUGGGCUUGCUUUAGAAUCUGAACAGUCUAACCAGGCUGCUGGAGUCCAGUCGUCACUCUCCACGCCUCUUUUCCCCUCCUCAUCCCUUUGUUCUGCCACCAUUGUUUUCCUUUUGACUCGAUUCCAAGACAGAGACGACCUGAUCCGGUGGGCUUGUGGCGACAGAGGUGGCAGGGGAAACCGACGGAGGGAUGUAAGCAGAGAUACCAACCAUCAAAAUUCAGAGAGCAACAACAUCAAUGAAGACCUGGACCAAACUUUUCAUGGCAAUGUUUCUAAAGUUCAGGCCUCUAACAUUGAUUUAACAAAAAACAUAUGCAUCAGAUAGCAUGUUGCUUGAUGGUAUCAGAAAAAUGCUGCAAAAGAGUGAUGAAAGGAAACAGAGGAGGAAUGUUUUGAAGGAGCAAAGCAGAAAGAGGUCAAGGGCUCAGAUGGGAACAACCCCAGAAUGUUUGCAUAAAGGAAGAGCAAGAAAAAGAACGCCCACUUUUCCCUUGUCUUUUUUUGGCAAGCUUGUUUGACAAGAAAAGUGCCCAGACCUGGACUGGCACAAGGCCAACAUCUGUUCACAAUCCUUUUCUUUACAACAAACAAACUAUUCGCAAAAAAAAAGAACAAUAAACUAACAACUAAGCCCACAAACACAACGCCCAGGCCCAGGAAAGUGGGGGGUGGGGGAGGUUCAUGGGUGCAGCCCAGACUUGGAAGUGACAAACGAAAUGACGAGGCCCAGAGGGAGGAAGCGCAGGGUGACAAACAAUCGACGAGAGAACAAACACAUCGAUCGGGAGGGCAAUAAGGGAUGACGUCAUCUUAGAUGUGACAUAAAUGUGUCCUAGACAGACCCUUCAAAAAAUACAUGUGCAGGAAUUCGGAAGUCUGUUUAGGAUCUAGAUGUGACAUAACUAUGUCACGUCAACCUGAUGUCCACUAUGUUUGUGGUUUAUUUUUUUGUCUCAACUUUUUUUGUUUUUUGUUGCAGUGUUAUUUGUGGAAGUUGAGAUGUGGGAUCCUUAGAAAAUAUCUACAGAGGUGAAUUAGACAAACUGUUUGGAAUAUUGCUUGGCUUUCUCAGUAUUUAACACCAGAAUCAAUUUGUUUCCGAAAAUACUGGAAUCAAUUAACAGUGGCAGGAGAAAUCACCUCGAUCGGCCGGGGAAGGAGCAGCGUCAGGGAAGGAACAGCAGCGGCGGCGGCCCUCGAUCUGUCGCGAGAUGGCGGGGAAGGAGCAGCGGCGGCUGGGGACUUGCCCAACUCCGGCACCGGAGUGGGUGGCCGCGGCGGGCGUGAGGAGGCGUCCGGGGCCGCGACCAGGGACGAGGAGCAGGUAGGCCUUCGUCUCCGUCUGGGGCCCUACUGCUGACUGCCGGCGGUGGCUGAUGCGUGCAGUGCACGCGGGCGACUAGGGAGGAAGAAGAGAGAGGGGUCGAUUAGCGCGAGAUUUAAAAAGCCAAGUUUUUUGGCAAAAGUGAAAUGCACUGCGCCCUCCACAAGAAUUUCGGUAAGGGAGUACAAUAUAGAGUACUCCCUUCAUUCCAAAAUAUAGUGCGUCCGCGCUUCCUGAGGUCCAACUUUGGCCAUAAA